CCUACGGGUGGCAGCAGUGGGGAAUAUUGCACAAUGGGGGAAACCCUGAUGCAGCGACGCCGCGUGAGUGAAGAAGUAAUUCGUUAUGUAAAGCUCUUUUAGCAGGGAAGUAAAUGACGGUACCUGAGUAAGUAGCUCUGGCUAAUUUCGAGCCAGCAGCCGUGGUAACACGUAGGGGGCCAGCGUCAUACGGAUUUACUGGGUGUAAAGGGAGCGUAGACGGUUGUGCAAGUCUGGAGUGAAAGGCUGGGGCUCAACCCGCGGAUUGCCCUGGAAACUGUACGGCUGGAGUGCAGGAGAGGUAGGUGGAAUUCGUGGUGUAGCGGUGAAAUGCGUAGAUAUUAGGAAGAACACCAGUGGCGAAGGCAGCUUACUGGACUGUAACUGACAUUGAGGCUCGAAAGCGUGGGGAGCAAACAGGAUUAGAUACCCGUGUAGUC
rnacentral:rRNA from 1 species